rnacentral:rRNA from 1 species
UACAGAGGGGGCAAGCGUUAUUCGGAAUUAUUGGGCGUAAAAGCGCACGUAGGCGGCGAUUCAAGUCAGAGGUGAAAAGCCCGGGGCUCAACCCCGGAACUGCCUUUGAAACUAGAUUGCUAGAAUCCUGGAGAGGUGAGUGGAAUUCCGAGUGUAGAGGUGAAAUUCGUAGAUAUUCGGAAGAACACCAGUGGCGAAGGCGGCUCACUGGCUCGGUACUGACGCUGAGGUGCGAAAGCGUGGGGAGCAAACAGG